UACGAAGGGGGCUAGCGUUGUUCGGAAUUACUGGGCGUAAAGCGCGCGCAGGCGGUUCUCCAAGUCAGUGGUGAAAGCCCGGAGCUCAACUCCGGAACUGCCAUUGAAACUGUUGAACUUGAGGACGAGAGAGGUGAGUGGAAUUCCCAGUGUAGAGGUGAAAUUCGUAGAUAUUGGGAAGAGCACCAGUGGCGAAGGCGGCUCACUGGCUCGUAUCUGACGCUCAGGCGCGAUAGCGUGGGGAUCAAACAGG
rnacentral:rRNA from 1 species